rnacentral:lncRNA from 7 species
GAAAGACCCUGCUCGCUCUCCUGGCUCUCUUGAAUUAGAGGCAGCAGCAGAAUGGCAAUGAUCCACCUCCCUUUGAGCAUCCCUGCACGGCGCGGCGGUAAAAGCGGCUUAAUGUUCCGUGGGGCUCUGGCUGAGCACAGCAAAUAGCAAAAGAGCCGAAGGAUUUCCCUCGCCUUUUCCUUCAUGUUCCUGAAUCCCCAGAGGUUUGUCAUCAAACAUCCUCAUUCGUGACCCCCAAGGAAAAGGUCUUCUCAACAAGUCCUGUUUUAAUAACUCUUAUUGUCCCAACCUGCUUUCUGAAAAAGCAAAAGUGUCUUUAUGACCACACCUGUUCUGUAUCACCUGUCUGACUUUUCUUCAGUAGCCACCAAUGCUGUGACUGCAGCAGCCUGAAUUGUACUUAAGUGGGCAAAUUAAGGGAAUAAGGGGCUCAUUUAGUGAUGCUGUAUGGAGAAUUCUGUCUCCUGCAGACCUGGCCAAUGUGAUCAGAAGAACUCACAGGUGAUAUUGGACCAAAAGUAUGUUCAGGUGUGGGCCCCACCUCACCCCACUGUCCAAGAAGACUGUUAAUGUUGAGGAUUGUCUCUAGAAGCCACAUCCAGAAAGUGUUUCUGCUCCUUUCGCUGUGGAAUGAAAGCUGUACAUCACAAACUGGGACAGUAAGGAAUAACCAGCCUACCUGGCAGCAAUGAGAAACAUCCCUGAUGGCUUCCUUUGGCCAAGAGCAGCUAAUCACAAGCUAAAAUUCCUAUAAUGCAGGAGAUAGGAAUGCACGGCACAAGGAGAGCUCAUGACCUGAGAAACAGGAUCUACACGUGCAAGUCUCUACACCUGCUCUUGAAAGAGAUAAGAGUUGGGUCAUGGCUUGGAGAAAUAAGAAAAGCAAAAAGGAGGAGGAACAUGAUUUCCUUUGCAGGUGACAGCUUUGGCCGGUGCAGUUCAGUGGCAGAGCUGUGGCUUUGGGAUUAGCACAGUGUUGUCCUGUGCCUGAAUUGCCCCUGGCCUGGGAGAACCUCUGUGAUGCCUUGAGCCUCCACUGGAAAGUGCUCAGAGACAUAGAUGGUAUGAAAAACAGCACAUUCAAGCCAGAAAGAGGACGGGAAAGAGGACUGCAGAAGGGACCAGAAUACUUAACAGUCAGCAAAGCGAACAUGUAACUUGAUCUGGGAGGAAACGUUGCAGGUCUUUGGGGAAGCUGAGUUGUGUGGUAUUAGCCAAGCUCAUUCUGUAUUCCCUCUGCCUGUAUUAUUUCCCUAGCACCAAGCCAACUAACAGAAACUGUUAGUUUGUAUGCGUUUAAAUAAACAGUAACUGUAUCU